GGAGGUGUGGCUCAAUGGUAGAAAGCCUGCCUGGCAAGCAUGAGGCCCUGAGUUCAAAUCCCCGUACUGUCG
rnacentral:tRNA from 1 species